GAUGAAGAAGCAGCGAAAUGCGAUAAGUAAUGCGAAUUGCAGAAUUCCAGUGAAUCAUCGAAUCUUUGAACGCACAUUGCGCCCGCCAGUAUUCUGGCGGGCAUGCCUGUUCGAGCGUCAUUUCAACCAUCAAGCCCCCGGGCUUGCGUUGGGGCCCUGCGGCUGCCGCAGGCCCCUAAAAGCAGUGGCGGGCUCGCUGUCACACCGAGCGCAGUAGCGAUAUUCGCUCCGGGCGUCGGCGGCGGGCACCGGCCGUGAAACCCCCCAUUUCUCAAGGUUGACCUCGGAUCAGGUAGGAAUACCCGCUGAACUUAAGCAUAUCAAUAAGCGGAGGA
rnacentral:misc_RNA from 1 species